rnacentral:rRNA from 1 species
UGCGUAGGCGGGUCUUUAAGUCCGGGGUGAAAUCCUGGAGCUCAACUCCAGAACUGCCUUUGAUACUGAGGAUCUUGAGUUCGGGAGAGGUGAGUGGAACUGCGAGUGUAGAGGUGAAAUUUGUAGAUAUUCGCAAGAACACCAGUGGCGAAGGCGGCUCACUGGCCCGAUACUGACGCUGAGGCACGAAAGCGUGGGAGCAAACA